rnacentral:rRNA from 1 species
UACGUAGGGGGCUAGCGUUGUCCGGAAUCCUUGGGCGUAAAGAGCGUGUAGGCUGCCCGGUAAGUCCGCUGUAAAAGUCAAAGGCUCAACCUUUGAAUGUCAGUGGAUACUGCCGGGCUAGAGUCCGGAAGAGGCGAGUGGAACUCCUGGUGUAGCGGUGGAAUGCGCAGAUAUCAGGAAGAACACCAACGGCGAAGGCAGCUCGCUAGGACGGUACUGACGCUGAGACGCGAAAGCGUGGGGAGCGAACAGG